AGACUAUAAUAUAUAUAUCGCAUUAUACCAUUAUUCAUACGCGACCACUGUGCCACCUGCGCUGCUGCAGCUGACGCGCGUGGGUGAAACACGAAACGAAUGUCCGACCUUUGUCACCGCGGAACCAUCAAAUUAUCGUAAUUAAAUGUAUAACCCAAUAUAGGUACUCGUUUAGGAAAAAAAAACCAAAAACAAACAUUUGAUUAUAUUUUUACUACGAUACACAUGAAUUUAUUUUUUAACUAUUGAAAACUUAAUAAACUUUUAUCGUACUAACUUUAUUUUGCAAUUUUUCGGGUACUAAAAAAAUGCACAGAUAUUUUCAUUAUACGGAUUUUCUUCCCGGCAAACGUUUUUCGAAAAUCUCAACUUUACUCGCCCCUAGACCAGCGGUUCCCAACAAACAGGCCGCGGCCCAUUUGUGGGCUGUGUUCAA